GAAAGGCGUAGUCGAUGGAUAACAGGUUAAUAUUCCUGUACCACUUAUGUAGCAUUUGAGCAACGGGUUGACGAAGGAGGCUAGGUUAACCUCGUGGAUGGUCGAGCGGGGCCAAGCGUGUAGGGAGAGAAUCUAGGAAAAUCCGGAUUCUUGUUAAUCCUGAGACGUGAAGGGGGACAAUAGUCUGUAGUAACCGAUGCCAUGCUUCCAAGAAAAUUCUCGUA
rnacentral:rRNA from 1 species